AUGACGUGUUUAUGAGGUAUCCCUAACACUAACUAUUUUUCUAGAUGACAAUACAUAUCUUAUCUCCAACCAGCGGCUUACAUAAAUCAACCCCAGAAAACAGAGUUUGCACUUUCUAGUAAGCUUCUUGCCCUCCAUGUAUCUCAGGUUGCUCCUCCAAGCUUUCUUUCUCCUUUUAUGCCUUCUCUGUUCUGUAAACAGCACUCAUGCUGAACAAGCUGAAACCCGACACUCUGAUAGUCACAUUCUUAAUGUCAGUUCUCUUUUGCCUCCGACUUUUGCAACCGGAAUUCCACCAGAGUUCCAAGCAAAGCAUCUCUGGAGGUUGUAAGCAGAUAUGGUCCAUUCUCCUACAUUAAUAUGGGCAAAGUAAAAACUCCGAAUUACUCGGAAAUUCUGCGCAAAGUGUAGCCAUUAUGAACUUUUUUACCAUUAGAUGGAGAGGGAGAGUAACUAUUGCAGGACAUGGCCAGUUUGAAGAAGAUGAUCUUUAAUUAGUCAGGUAAUUUGCCUACUGGCAACCCCUUGGAGCAAACUCGACCCUUUUUUCGACACCGUCAUGCAGCACCUCUAGCGUCUUUUGUGGUAAGUUUCUGAAAGUAGCUACUUGAUCUGCACCAUUUGUGCGACUAAAAGCUAGACACACCGUCGACCCUGAAAGCACAUAGAUAACCCCGUUGAUAUGAAGCUCCGCCUCAACAUCAUCGCCAAAGAAGAAACUCACAGCAAGCACAGAAAUACUUUAGUCACCACUGAAAUCGUAGCACAUAUCAACCCAAAACCCGAAAGACGUGUAUGCAUCCGGUGGCAGGUGUGUGAUGAUGUUUCCGGAUUGUGAGAGGCCACCAUUAUUGCCUAACAGUGAAAAGACCUGUGGUGCUGGUUGUCUAAGUCAAGAGAAAGGAAAGUAACCUGGUUCAUAUUCACCAUGUAACCACCAAGUCUGGAGAAGUCCUAAACAGCCAAAACCAAAAGGUUCACAAAAUCGGACGCCAUAUAUAUAAGCAAUGAAAGUAACAAUUCACAAAUGUAUGUCUCUCAUUUUACACAUAAACAUAUAUAUACAAACAGCACCGGGUAGACAUAUAAUUGCAUCACGUAUAUAGAGGCUUUUCAAUAUA